rnacentral:lncRNA from 1 species
CCCGCUGAGUCAUCGGUUGGCAUCCAUUGGCCCUUUCAGGUUUCCCCUCAUCCAGCUGCCCAGCAUCGACAAUGUCCCUUUCAUUCUAGAAGGUCAUCGUUGUGCCAAACACUGAGGGGGCCUGGAAGUCACCUUUCCUCUACCUGACAGAGAACGUCCAUGCACCCAGAGACAUGCUCCUUUUCUUCUGACAAAGAAAGGGACAGUGUGGACCCUUGGACCUUGGCAUACGCCAGUCACAAGAGGUCAUGGGAAUGGGCAGAAAUGUGUAUUUCUCACAAUUUGCUGUAUGGUAAUCACAGGCUUCUUGACUUUCUGCGAGGACAUGUCCCUUCCUUUAACUGCAGCUGUGCACAUUCUUGCCCUGUGGGGACAGAUUCAAGACGUUUUGAGACACUGAAAGGCAUCCUGUGUCUCUCGAGGCAGAGGGCAGGGUGGGAAGGGCAUGGAGAACCUUCUGGGGUCUGAGAAAACUGAACGGGAGCCUUGCAGACUCAUUUAGCACAAUAGAAUGGAUUUUGAGGUCAAGAAAAUUAUCUUCUCCUUGGAUUUUGCCAGAAAAAUGUCGAUUACUGGACCUUUUCCAGUCCCAGGAUUGAGUCUUCGAGUCGCGUCUCCACUUCUUGCCGUCCUGAGUUUCAGAAGACCGUCUGCCCUCUGAGUUUGCUGACAACUCUGAGACCGUCCACUCUCCAGUCACGUGCUCUCCCCUCCCUCAGCACUUGAGUACGUGUUGCUCUUGUCCCACAUGCUUCAUGCCUCCCAGUUAUGUUGUGCACGUGCACUCGGCCUGUUCGUCUUUAGGUUUAUUUAAGGCAGGGAGCUUUCUUCAUGUGUUAUUUCUCUCCGCAUGCAGUGCUUUGUAGGGGCAGGCACCAUUCACCCAGUCCCUCGACCGUGCCAUGAGUAUCUCCUGAGAGCCUGUUGCAUGCUCUGUUCUAAGUGCUGGUGUUCAACAGUGAACAAAACUCACGGAGCCAUGUCCUAGAGGAAGCGGAGCACGAGACAAAGAGUAAAUGUUAAGUUAGAAGUGUUUGGAGAAAAACAAAACAGGAGAAGGGGUCGGGAGUACUGGGGAUGUCUACAUAGG